rnacentral:tRNA from 1 species
UGGAGAGAUGGCUGAGUGGUCGAAAGCGGCAGAUUGCUAAUCUGUUGUACGGUUCGAAAGUCCGUACCGAGGGUUCGAAUCCCUCUCUCUCCGU